UCAAUAUAUCAAUGGUGAGGCCGUCGCCGUCGUCUGCCUCUACCGGCGUUGCUCCGCCUGAUUGCAACGCUCCUCAGUCUUAUCGCCGUCGUCUGCCUCUACCGGCGUUGCUCCGCCUGAUUCACAUCCCCCUCGCCGUCAAUAGCAGCGGUGAACGACAACUCCCGCCAUCUCCUCAUCGACGUAGUGCAAAACAGUAGGGUGGAUCGUCACUUCGUUCGCCGGCAUCUGCUCCGAAUCUCGCGCGGCGUGAGAUUUGAGAUCAGUAAAAUCUAGGGUUUUAAACAAUGAAGAUGCGAAAUCUACCAUCGUUUCCAUUUUCUGCGGUGGUGAUUUGUUGAAGACGGCGUGAUGAAGGUUCUUCUCCGGCGAAAGUUGUUGUUUUUUGCCGUUAAGCGAUUCCGCCUUCCUCCUUCUCCGGCGUGAUGGAUUGAUGAAAGUUGUUGGUUUUCUGAAUCAUCUUCUUUAGUGGGCAUUUUUCUUUCUUGCUUUUUCUGCAGAUUUGCUUUUUUUGUUUCUUUUAUUUUUUUCAAUUGUUUAUUUAUAAAUGUGGCACCACUGGUUGAACAUAUCAUACGAUCUGUGUUUUGUGAUUUUUUCCCAAGAAAUGCAAGCACAUGCCCUGCCCAGAAUAGUGAUGCUAGAGGCGAUGAGGCUUCUGGUUGGAUGCCAA